GCUUUUUGGGAACCAGAGGGGGACAGCGCUAGGUCCCCGGACAAAGCGUGGCGCCUGAGUCCACCCCAUAACUUCAUGGGCCAGCAACUUAGGGGAUGUGGGCCUGGUUACAGCUGCACAUGCCUUUUCUCUUCCCCCAAGACCACGGUUCUUCAGACCUGGAGCCACUUUCAGAGAAGAGUAUAAAUUGGACUGAAUUGAAAAAGGGAAAAGUUUGAGACUGCAGAAGAUGGAAUUCCUGGGGACGUUAAACUGGGCUAUGACGGAGCAGAUAGGGUUUCCUUAAUUACAGCAAGACACACCUAGUGUCUAGAGCCUGGAAGUCUUGGUCAAUGAUUCUUCCUAAUAUUUCAGUUUCUCAGCACUAACGUUCUUGCUACUAAAAUGAAGUGAGAAAUUAAUUUCUGAAGUAAAGAAAUAAACUAAAAUUCCUAGAAAAGAGAUAAGAAGCAAGGAGAAUGAGCCUUUGAAAAAUAGUCUUGACAAAGAUUGGCAUGACGGCAUGGAAGAAAGAGCCCCAGAUACCCAAUAUACAUCUCAAGGUCAACUUGUCCAAAACAGAACUACUGGUUUUCCCCUUGAAAUCUACUCUUCCUACAGCUUAUUACUCUCAAAUAGCUGGAGUGCAAUGGCAUAAUCUUGGCUCACUGCAACCUCUGCCUCCUGGGUUCAAGCAAUUCUCCUGCCUCAGCCUCCAGAGUAGCUGGAAUUACA